AGCAGUUUACCAUUACACAGUAAACAACAAUAAGGCAACAAGGGAUGGAUAUUACUGUGUAUCGCCUCAAAAACUCACUCAAACGCUGGAAAAAACAGCUCUGCUGAAGAGCUACGCUCAUCUGUAACAAGGAUUCAUUUUCUGACAUCAUAACCCACGAAUGCAGAGCUCUUCUGCAGCAUCCAUGAGACCAACAGCAAGGACGGGAAAAUAUCUACUGCUGUGUGCAACCGCAUCAUCAAGAAGAAAUAAAGCCGAGUGAACGUGUACGGUGAUGAAUUAACCUUCAGCUCUCCUCCUGGCACUUCAUGAAACACAGCGAGAGGAAAGAAGGAAGCGGACGACAAAAAUACAAAGUAUUUCCCAACAUAAACUCUACGUGACAACGAUUUCACCUCGAAUCACCCUGUGAGGAAACAUGAACAACUGUGUCUGUUUUUUUAUCUGGCUGGUAGGGUAGUUUAACUUCUCCACACACUACAAAUCCACUUAAAGUGAGAGGAUGCCAUUUAACACUGACUUUGAACUUCAUGGAUUUUAAUUUGGACUAUAAAUUGAAUUUACUGCAGCCUGUUCUACCACAACUUUCCAGCAGAGGGCGCUAAACCCGGGACUUGUUACUAGUGGCUGACAGAUGUGGACGCAAAUACUUUAUAUACUUAAUCUACAGAAAUGCAUCAUGGUCUAUAAGAUCAUCAUAUGUUUGUGUUGAACCAUGUAUCUCUAAAAAAAAAGCAGCUUGUUUUAAACUUUGAGCCAACAAUCCAAGAGAGUUUUUAAUUUGUUUAUUUAGUUUAAGAACACUUCAUCCUUCAGAUGAUCAGAGAUACAUGGUUUUCACUGGACAACUUGUAAUCUUCAAAGUAACUGGUAACUAAAGCUAUCAGACAAAUGGAGUAAAAAGUACAAUAUUUGCCUCUGAGAUGUCGUGGAGUAUGAAGUAUAAAGUAAAUACAAGUACCUCAAAUUUGUAGCCAAGUGCUUCACGUGAUGUAUACCAACCCUUUAUCUUACUAACAAUGUUUUUUCAUUAUGUACACUGAAAGAGUUUUUGUUUGUAAUAGUUGUAGAGAUGUAAUAAAGGCAGAUCCUGCCUUAAACAAACUUCAGUUGAAGUAAUGGGGGACAAAAUCUGCAGUCCAUUCAGUCCACUCUGUCUCUUAUUAGCUUUGAAUAUGGAUAUAUACUGUACUACAUUUUCUUUUUCAGAUUGACCAGGAAUGUACAGAUUGGUGACAAAUUCAAGACAAAAACAACAUGGAGUGGCCAAAAGAAGAAUUAUAGUUUGCCAUAGAUUUAUACUGAUGACUGCAAAGGUCAUAGCAUAUGAUUUACAUAAUUUGCAUACUCAUUACAUCAUCCGGUGAUCCUUUGUGUCCCGUAGAUGGAAGCAUUAUCAUCCUGGAAGAGACCACUCCUAACAGUAUGUAUUAAUUAUGAGCCUCCACUCACUUAUUUAGCUUUAAUUUGUCACCUGUCUCUAUAUGAAAUACUUAGAGUUAGCUCCAUUUCGACCAACUAUAACAACUGAUAACACAUUUUCACUACAGAGCUUUUUUUUGUUUUUUUUAAAAUGUAUUUUUAUUUUUUAGAAUUUAUUAUUGCUACUUUAUUUAAGUAAAGAAAUAAAUGUAUCCUGACAUAAUCAAAAGACCUGGUUUUGCAUUUUGAUACCCACUGACUACAACUUCCAUGUACAUUACUGUCAAAAACAUUGAUACAACUGUGUGUGUUUUUAUAUCUGAUUUCCAUCCACUUCACUUUACAUUUAUCCAACUAAAAUUACAUCAUACAUCGAUCAAUACAUUAAAUAACUAUUUUCUCAAUUCUUUUUGCAGCUUCAUUUAA